rnacentral:rRNA from 1 species
GACGAACGCUGGCGGCGUGCUUAACACAUGCAAGUCGAACGGUGAAGCGCCUUCCUUUUUGGUGGGUGUGGAUGAGUGGCGAACGGGUGAGUAACACGUGAGUAACCUGCCCCCUUCUUCUGGAUAACCGCAUGAAAGUGUGGCUAAUACGGGAUAUUCUGGGUCUGUCGCAUGAUGGGUCUGGGAAAGAUAUUGUUUCGGUGGGGGAUGGGCUCGCGGCCUAUCAGCUUGUUGGUGGGGUGAUGGCCUACCAAGACGGUGACGGGUAGCCGGCCUGAGAGGGUGGACGGUCACACUGGGACUGAGACACGGCCCAGACUCCUACGGGAGGCAGCAGUGGGGAAUAUUGCACAAUGGGCGCAAGCCUGAUGCAGCGACGCCGCGUGAGGGAUGGAGGCCUUCGGGUUGUGAACCUCUUUCGCCAGUGAAGCAGGCCUGCCUCGUUUGUGGGUGGGUUGACGGUAGCUGGAUAAGAAGCGCCGGCUAACUACGUG